rnacentral:rRNA from 1 species
CAGGAUGAACGCUAGCGGGAGGCCUAACACAUGCAAGCCGAGCGGUAGAGUUUCUUCGGAAACUUGAGAGCGGCGCACGGGUGCGGAACACGUGUGCAACCUGCCUUUAUCUGGGGGAUAGCCUUUCGAAAGGAAGAUUAAUACCCCAUAAUAUGUUGGAUGGCAUCAUUCGACAUUGAAAACUCCGGUGGAUAGAGAUGGGCACGCGCAAGAUUAGAUAGUUGGUGAGGUAACGGCUCACCAAGUCUGCGAUCUUUAGGGGGCCUGAGAGGGUGAUCCCCCACACUGGUACUGAGACACGGACCAGACUCCUACGGGAGGCAGCAGUGAGGAAUAUUGGACAAUGGGUGAGAGCCUGAUCCAGCCAUCCCGCGUGAAGGACGACGGCCCUAUGGGUUGUAAACUUCUUUUGUAUAGGGAUAAACCUACUCUCGUGAGAGUAGCUGAAGGUACUAUACGAAUAAGCACCGGCUAACUCCGUGCCAGCAGCCGCGGUAAUACGGAGGGUGCAAGCGUUAUCCGGAUUUAUUGGGUUUAAAGGGUCCGUAGGCGGAUUUGUAAGUCAGUGGUGAAAUCUCACAGCUUAACUGUGAAACUGCCAUUGAUACUGCAAGUCUUGAGUGUUGUUGAAGUAGCUGGAAUAAGUAGUGUAGCGGUGAAAUGCAUAGAUAUUACUUAGAACACCAAUUGCGAAGGCAGGUUACUAAGCAACAACUGACGCUGAUGGACGAAAGCGUGGGGAGCGAACAGGAUUAGAUACCCUGGUAGUCCACGCCGUAAACGAUGCUAACUCGUUUUUGGGACUGUAAGUUUCAGAGACUAAGCGAAAGUGAUAAGUUAGCCACCUGGGGAGUACGAACGCAAGUUUGAAACUCAAAGGAAUUGACGGGGGCCCGCACAAGCGGUGGAUUAUGUGGUUUAAUUCGAUGAUACGCGAGGAACCUUACCAAGGCUUAAAUGGGAAAUGACAGGUUUAGAAAUAGACUUUUCUUCGGACAUUUUUCAAGGUGCUGCAUGGUUGUCGUCAGCUCGUGCCGUGAGGUGUUAGGUUAAGUCCUGCAACGAGCGCAACCCCUGUCACUAGUUGCCAUCAUUAAGUUGGGGACUCUAGUGAGACUGCCUACGCAAGUAGAGAGGAAGGUGGGGAUGACGUCAAAUCAUCACGGCCCUUACGCCUUGGGCCACACACGUAAUACAAUGGCCGGUACAGAGGGCAGCUACACAGCGAUGUGAUGCAAAUCUCGAAAGCCGGUCUCAGUUCGGAUUGGAGUCUGCAACUCGACUCUAUGAAGCUGGAAUCGCUAGUAAUCGCGCAUCAGCCAUGGCGCGGUGAAUACGUUCCCGGGCCUUGUACACACCGCCCGUCAAGCCAUGGAAGUCUGGGGUACCUGAAGUCGGUGACCGUAACAGGAGCUGCCUAGGGUAAAACAGGUAACUAGGGCUAAGUCGUACAAGGGGUAACCAAAAA